AGGCCUGUCGUUCAAUGGUAGGACAGCGGUCUCCAAAACCGCCAAUGAGGGUUCGAUUCCUUCCAGGCCUGCUA
rnacentral:tRNA from 5 species